AGCUGGAGGAGGAAUAGGAGGAUGUCCCUGAGAGAGAGUGCUUUAUCCUGGCCUGGCCUUAAAGAGAAAGAAUGAGAAAAAAUUUGCUUUAUCCUGGCCUGGCCUUAAAGAGAAAGAAUGAGAAAUGAGA